rnacentral:rRNA from 1 species
AAAUUGAAGAGUUUGAUCAUGGCUCAGAUUGAACGCUGGCGGCAGGCCUAACACAUGCAAGUCGAACGGUAACAGGAAGCAGCUUGCUGCUUUGCUGACGAGUGGCGGACGGGUGAGUAAUGUCUGGGAAACUGCCUGAUGGAGGGGGAUAACUACUGGAAACGGUGGCUAAUACCGCAUAACGUCGCAAGACCAAAGAGGGGGACCUUCGGGCCUCUUGCCAUCAGAUGUGCCCAGAUGGGAUUAGCUUGUUGGUGAGGUAACGGCUCACCAAGGCGACGAUCCCUAGCUAGUCUGAGAGGAUGACCAGCCACACUGGAACUGAGACACGGUCCAGACUCCUACGGGAGGCAGCAGUGGGGAAUAUUGCACAAUGGGCGCAAGCCUGAUGCAGCCAUGCCGCGUGUAUGAAGAAGGCCUUCGGGUUGUAAAGUACUUUCAGCGGGGAGGAAGGUGUUGUGGUUAAUAACC